GCAGAUGUAGCUCAGUGGUAGAGCGACGUAAAACCCGUCUUUCGCCUCUCGCCCGUCAUCGGGCCGUAGAUGGAUGGUUAUCGCCUCAUACGCCGUAGGCCGCUGGUUCGACUCCAGCCAUCUGCU
rnacentral:tRNA from 1 species